UACGUAGGGUCCGAGCGUUGUCCGGAAUUAUUGGGCGUAAAGAGCUCGUAGGCGGUUUGUCGCGUCUGCUGUGAAAUCCCGAGGCUCAACCUCGGGUCUGCAGUGGGUACGGGCAGACUGGAGUGCGGUAGGGGAGAAUGGAAUUCCUGGUGUAGCGGUGGAAUGCGCAGAUAUCAGGAGGAACACCGAUGGCGAAGGCAGUUCUCUGGGCCGUAACUGACGCUGAGGAGCGAAAGCGUGGGUAGCAAACAGG
rnacentral:rRNA from 1 species